UACGGAGGGGGCAAGCGUUAUUCGGAAUUAUUGGGCGUAAGGGGCGCGUAGGCGGCUAGAUGUGUCAAAGGUGAAAUCCCUCGGCUCAACUGAGGAACUGCCUUUGAAACUGUCUGGCUUGAGGCCGGGAGAGGGUAGCGGAAUUCCAGGUGUAGCGGUGAAAUGCGUAGAUAUCUGGAGGAACACCGGUGGCGAAGGCGGCAUCCUGGACCAACACUGACACUGAGGAGCGAAAGCCAGGGGAGCAAACGGG
rnacentral:rRNA from 1 species